rnacentral:rRNA from 1 species
UGGGGAAUUUUGGACAAUGGGCGCAAGCCUGAUCCAGCAAUGCCGCGUGCAGGAUGAAGGCCUUCGGGUUGUAAAGCUCUUUCAGCCGGAAAGAAAUCGCGCAGGAUAAUACUCUGCGUGGAUGGCGGUACCGGAAGAAGAAGCACCGGCUAACUACGUGCCAGCAGCCGCGGUAAUACGUAGGGUGCGAGCGUUAAUCGGAAUUACUGGGCGUAAAGCGUGCGCAGGCGGUUAUGUAAGACAGAUGUGAAAUCCCCGGGCUCAACCUGGGAACUGCAUUUGUGACUGUAUAGCUAGAGUACGGCAGGGGGGGAUGGAAUUCCGCGUGUAGCAGUGAAAUGCGUAGAUAUGCGGAGGAACACCGAUGGCGAAGGCAAUCCCCUGGGCCUGUACUGACGCUCAUGCACGAAAGCGUGGGGAGCAAACA